rnacentral:rRNA from 1 species
AGAGUUUGAUCAUGGCUCAGAGCGAACGCUAGCGGCAGGCUUAACACAUGCAAGUCGAGCGGGCGUAGCAAUACGUCAGCGGCAGACGGGUGAGUAACGCGUGGGAACAUACCUUUUGGUUCGGAACAACCCAGGGAAACUUGGGCUAAUACCGGAUAAGCCCUUACGGGGAAAGAUUUAUCGCCGAAAGAUUGGCCCGCGUCUGAUUAGCUAGUUGGUGAGGUAACGGCUCACCAAGGCGACGAUCAGUAGCUGGCCUGAGAGGAUGAUCAGCCACAUUGGGACUGAGACACGGCCCAAACUCCUACGGGAGGCAGCAGUGGGGAAUAUUGGACAAUGGGGGCAACCCUGAUCCAGCCAUGCCGCGUGAGUGAUGAAGGCCCUAGGGUUGUAAAGCUCUUUUGUGCGGGAAGAUAAUGACGGUACCGCAAGAAUAAGCCCCGGCUAACUUCGUGCCAGCAGCCGCGGUAAUACGAAGGGGGCUAGCGUUGCUCGGAAUCACUGGGCGUAAAGGGUGCGUAGGCGGGUCUUUAAGUCAGGGGUGAAAUCCUGGAGCUCAACUCCGGAACUGCCUUUGAUACUGAAGAUCUUGAGUUCGGGAGAGGUGAGUGGAACUGCGAGUGUAGAGGUGAAAUUCGUAGAUAUUCGCAAGAACACCAGUGGCGAAGGCGGCUCACUGGCCCGAUACUGACGCUGAGGC